AACUGUUGAAAAAUCACCCUCUCUUCAUCGAUUUCAUCUUCCUUUAUCCCAAACUGUUCAUCAUCUUCGCAUUCAUUUUCAGCAUCCCUAAUUUCUUUUCUUCAUCUUUUUCUUCUUCAUCUUAACAGUUUCAAUAUUUCUAUGUAAACCAACAAAAACACAGACCUAUGACAACAUCGCACCAGACCCAUCAUCAUCACCUUCAAACAUCCUGAUUUACCCCUUUUCUGUAAACGGGUUAGGUUUUGCACUUUUUUCUUCAAUAGCUCAGGUGUUAUUUUUUCGUGUUGAUCCAUCUCCCUCAUCUGUAACUGAAGAACACAGGUUUUUAAGCGUGGCAUCAAGUUAUCUUUCUCAAUAAUUAAUCAGCCUUUGGGUUCUUCUUGGCACGAAAGCGCUUCUUGGUAGGAGUGGUGGAUUUCAAGUAGCAUCC